GAGACUCUGUGCGCGUGCAUAUCAAUAAGCGGAGGAAAAGAAACUAACAAGGAUUCCCCUAGUAACGGCGAGUGAAGCGGGAAGAGCUCAAAUUUGAAAUCUUAAGGGGUUUCCCUUUACGAAUUGUAGUUUAAAGAAGUGUUUUCUGUUGGAGUUUCGGUAAAAGUUCUUUGGAAUAGGACAUCAUAGAGGGUGAGAAUCCCGUAUUUGAUCGUUACUUCCCAGCUGUGUGAUACACUUUCAAAGAGUCGGAUUGUUUGGGAAUGCAGUCCAAAAUGGGUGGUAAAUUUCAUCUAAAGCUAAAUAUUGGCGAGAGACCGAUAGCGAACAAGUACCGUGAGGGAAAGAUGAAAAGAACUUUGAAAAGAGAGUAAACAGUACGUGAAAUUGUCAAAAGGGAAGCGUUUGACACCAGUGUUGUUUAGUUGAAAAUCAAUUCAAUAAUUUUUGAUUCUAAGUAGUAUUGACUUCAUCAGCUUGCUGCUUUCUUCUCAGGAAUUAUUGAAUGCACUUUUCAGUUAACAAGUCAACAUCAAUUUCUUUUGUUGUAAAAGGGUAAGAGGAAGGUGGCUUACGCUUCGGCGUCAAGUGUUUAUAGCCUUUUAUCUCUGCAAUCGGAGAGAUUGAGGUACAUGCAGCGUAGACUCCUUCGGGGUUAGGAUACACUUGUGCUAAGCUAUAGCCUUGUAUAGACAACUUGUUGACUAUGCUCAGUCAUGUAGCUUACUCGCUGAUGCUAUUUUACCUACGCUUAGGAUGUUGACAGCAGUAUAGACUG
rnacentral:rRNA from 1 species